CAAGCUUAAUAGGAUAAGCAUUAUUCCGAUGGCCUUCAAAGUCAUAAGUAGAGUAAUUUCUCUUUAGCUUGG
rnacentral:tRNA from 1 species